UUGGUUUUGCUACACACCCCCAACUCAGCCUUCAGAUGGUUUCACACAAAAAGAAGUGUUGCAAGGGCAAACUCAGUACCUUUGUGAGGUGGAUGUAUGCUGUCCUCUUGUUUAUAACCCAGUAUGGUGUUUCUUGCAGUAGGAAAUGCUGUUGUAAAGGAAUAUUGUUGCAAAUUAUGUGUACUUAAUGCUUGCUGGAGGUUAUUGCAACACAGAUUUACUGAUCUAUUAACUGUGGUAGGUUAAUAGUAACAAAUCCCUCUUCCUUACUCAGAAUGAACAGCCUUCAGGAAGGGCAGGUUGUGAAAUGGGAAGAAAAAGAUUAAUUUACUUUUUUAAAAAAGAGUGAAAUUAGACAAAGAGAGAGGAAUGCAGAGCACUCUCUCAUUGCUUCUCACAGUUUGAUACAUUCCAUAGUUCCUUUUUUUGUUGCUACUGUCACUUGUCCCACCUCCCAUUGCAAUGCACAAUUCCCAGUCAAGGCAUUCAAGCAUUUCACACAAAUGUCUUUCCAGCUUGUUCUGUCGUGCUUUCUCCUCUCAUAUUUUAACAAAGAUUUUGUAGUUUUAGGGGGUUUUUUAAGACCUCAUCUUCUGGACUGUUUUCUUCUGCCCCUGAUUUAAACUCUCUAUUUACGUCUCAUGAUUGUACAGUGAAACUAAAAUGACAGAAACGCAAUAAAGUAUUUUCAGAUGUGGGUUGUUUUUGUUUUUUUUUUUUUUUUUUUAAAGUUCAGAGUUUUUAAAUGACCUGUGUGCAUUUUGGAGGCCUGAUUUGUUUGUUAUUUUUGGUGCUGAAGUUGAACCGAACUACAAAAGCCAAGAAAUGUUGUAAGCACAGCUCUAACUACUGUGUUGUAAUUUUAUUUCAUUCAGCUGCUGUGGGCUUAUAUGACCACUGAGAGGAAUGCAGUCCUGGACGAGUACUUUUCCAGUGAAAAAAAUGUUAAUUUAUUCCAUGCCAUCACCAUUUUUAUUUUGUACCUAUGUUCAAAAUCAACUUUCACUGAUCACUCCAGAGAGAGAGAAUUUGUAAAUACACUGUAUUAAAUCAUGUUUGGUAGCAACCUGUGAACUGUGCUGAUAAAAGAAGAAUUGACCCAAACUACUCAACCUCAAUCUAAUGAGAUCAAAAGACAUCAGGACAGACACUGUAAGGAGCUGAAGGAGAAGUGGUCUUUGGCACAAAGCUCCUUCUUAAACCAGGAUCAAAAUAUCCCAGCUAUUCCAGAUUAAAAUAAGACUGAUUCCUCUCUUUUUGGGACUAUUGCCUAUUGCUUACCAUUUUGGGGUUCACGUACUGUGCUAUUGCAAUCAGAAAAAUUAAUUUGCUACCAUAAGCUGGAGAGAAGAAGAAUGGAUAAAAGAAUGGUCCUGUUUUUUCGUCUCAUUUCUGAAGGGAAAUUAAAUAACAGCCAUGGCUCUACAUUAUAGCCUUCCUUUCUGCUUAGCUUUAAUUUUAGUCAUCUUUUGCUGGUUCCUGUUAUACCCAGUUCCUGAACUCUCAAUACAAUAAAUGUUAUUGUUCAUGGGGAGAAUGAGUUGCAUAAAUGUCAAGUCAUCAACAAUCAGCUGGCCAGUUGCCUGAAGCCUUUUUUGUUUUCUUCAUGGGACAUAACUACAAGUACUUAUUCAUACAGAUGAGCCUUACACACCUAAGUAGGCCUAUUGACAGUAGUGGUAGAUUGAAGGUGGGAAAAAAACCAAGGUUGUGCAACGUCGUUUAAAUCUAGACUGAAGUUCUAGUUGUCACAAAUCUUUAGCUGAUGACGUAGAUUUACUUGCUUUUGGCAACAUAUAUACCCCUAUACAAUUUUUUUUUUAUGAAGGCAAAUAGAAGAAAUCAAAUUCAGAAGUAGAAAAUUGUUUUGCAAGUAAUUUCAAAAGCAAGGAUGAUGUGUUUAGGGCAAAGAUGGAGGCUCUUGAUAUGUUUAGUAAAAAUAUAAAAUUGGAUCUGUCUCAUGCUAUUAGAAUCUCAUUGAGUAUUGAUUUCGCUGAAAGAACAUACUAGUACAGAGAGAUUUUUGUCUUACUUGAUAUACCAGACUCUUAAGUUCAAGACUGUGGAAGACAGACAUGACAAAUUUGACAAUGACACCAUCUAAAGAGGAGGAAGGAAGCUGAAAAGUAAGAACUAGUUAUUAGAGAGCAAUAUAAUGAAAGGGAACAUUAUACUUCUUGCAGUAGCAGGAACAGGAAUUAAUAUUAGUUUGUUCAAUAAUAAAAGAUGAAACCUGUAGAAAUUUACAAUACAUUUCAAGCAAACAUUCAGACAGUCUCAAAACAAGCUAAAAAGGGAGAAACCCACUUUG